rnacentral:rRNA from 1 species
GUAAACUAUGCCAUCUAGCGAUCCAAUGGGGUAUUGUAGCCUUGUUGGGGAGCUUCCCGGAAACGAAAGUCUUUCGGUUCCUGGGGUAGUAUGGUUGCAAAGCUGAAACUUAAAGAAAUUGACGGAAGGGCACCACCAGGAGUGGAGCCUGCGGCUUAAUUUGACUCAACACGGGAAAACUCACCCGGCCCGGACACCGUUAGGAUUGACAGAUUGAAAGCUCUUUCUCGAUUUGGUGGUUGGUGGUGCAUGGCCGUUCUUAGU